GCCUCCCCACAUGCCAGCCUUCCCGAAAUGCCCCCCCAGCCCGAGCCCCUCCCCACCUUGGUGCCGUCAGAACGACCGUCCUUGCAGGGGACGGCCUCAGGCCCACGCCUGUCCUUACCACCUCCACCUGAUUUUUCAUGUCACCACUCACAGAUCAUCUCCUGAAACUCUGUGAACUCAGCCUAAAUCAAGAGCCCGUACCGAUCCCUGUGGAGCCCUCUUGCCUUCCUUGCCCUCGUGGUUGUAUCGUCCUUCUUCCUGUGUCACGAGGAAGAUGAAGGCUCGCGCUCCCCCGCCUCCCGGGAGGCCCACCCCCACCAGCGUGCACAGAGGACAGAGACCUCCCCGCGAUGCGUCCCCCAGCCCCCCGCAGAACCUGCUCAGCAGGAAGGAGACGCUGGACGGCAGGGUGGUGGCCAUGACCGUGGUGCUGCCUAGCGGGCUGGAGAAGAGGAGUGUGGUCAACGGGAGAGCACAGGCUCCGGACGCGCAGGCUCAGCGGCCAUGGCUCACGGGCCCAGCCGCUCCGCGGCAUGUGGGAUCCUCCCAGACCGGGGCGCGAACCCGGUUCCCCUGCAUCGGCAGGCGGACGCGCAACCACUGCGCCACCAGGGAAGCCCUGCAUGUUCUUUUAAUCACCCUUAAGAAUGUGAAAUCUUUCUGAUAAGCCAAAUGAGAAUUAGAGCUAUAUUUUAUUUCCUUUGAAUCUCCACAGCUGGGCACACAGUAGGACCUAAUGUCUAAGUGAAUGGGUGAAUGAAUGAGCAAAAGAAGCUUAUAUACUGUGUAAAAGACUUUUUGGCGCCUUAAAAAAAAAAAAACAAUGCCGAAAAAUAAAUUUCCUCCUUACGUUGGGAGCUCUUAAGAUUCAUUCGGGGAACAGAGAUUAAAAAGUUGGAAGGAAAAGGAUAUUUGAGAAGCAAUGGAGAGAAGCCCCAAAGAUCAGUGUCAUUACCCACCCACCUCCCCUGUUACUGUGGUUUGGGGUAACCAGUCCUCUUUGUCA